rnacentral:rRNA from 1 species
AGAGUUUGAUCCUGGCUCAGAACGAACGCUGGCGGCGUGGAUAAGACAUGCAAGUCGAACGAGAGAAUUGCUAGCUUGCUAAUAAUUCUCUAGUGGCGCACGGGUGAGUAACACGUGAGUAACCUGCCCCCGAGAGCGGGAUAGCCCUGGGAAACUGGGAUUAAUACCGCAUAGUAUCGAAAGAUUAAAGCAGCAAUGCGCUUGGGGAUGGGCUCGCGGCCUAUUAGUUAGUUGGUGAGGUAACGGCUCACCAAGGCGAUGACGGGUAGCCGGUCUGAGAGGAUGUCCGGCCACACUGGAACUGAGACACGGUCCAGACACCUACGGGUGGCAGCAGUCGAGAAUCAUUCACAAUGGGGGAAACCCUGAUGGUGUGACGCCGCGUGGGGGAAUGAAGGUCUUCGGAUUGUAAACCCCUGUCAUGUGGGAGCAAAUUAAAAAGAUAGUACCACAAGAGGAAGAGACGGCUAACUCUGUGCCAGCAGCCGCGGUAAUACAGAGGUCUCAAGCGUUGUUCGGAAUCACUGGGCGUAAAGCGUGCGUAGGCUGUUUCGUAAGUCGUGUGUGAAAGGCGCGGGCUCAACCCGCGGACGGCACAUGAUACUGCGAGACUAGAGUAAUGGAGGGGGAACCGGAAUUCUCGGUGUAGCAGUGAAAUGCGUAGAUAUCGAGAGGAACACUCGUGGCGAAGGCGGGUUCCUGGACAUUAACUGACGCUGAGGCACGAAGGCCAGGGGAGCGAAAGGGAUUAGAUACCCCUGUAGUCCUGGCAGUAAACGGUGCACGCUUGGUGUGCGGGGAAUCGACCCCCUGCGUGCCGGAGCUAACGCGUUAAGCGUGCCGCCUGGGGAGUACGGUCGCAAGAUUAAAACUCAAAGAAAUUGACGGGGACCCGCACAAGCGGUGGAGUAUGUGGCUUAAUUCGAUGCAACGCGAAGAACCUUACCUGGGCUUGACAUGUAAUGAACAACAUGUGAAAGCAUGCGACUCUUCGGAGGCGUUACACAGGUGCUGCAUGGCCGUCGUCAGCUCGUGUCGUGAGAUGUUUGGUUAAGUCCAGCAACGAGCGCAACCCCUGUUGCCAGUUACCAGCACGUGAAGGUGGGGACUCUGGCGAGACUGCCCAGAUCAACUGGGAGGAAGGUGGGGACGACGUCAGGUCAGUAUGGCCCUUAUGCCCAGGGCUGCACACGUACUACAAUGCCCAGUACAGAGGGGGCCGAAGCCGCGAGGCGGAGGAAAUCCUGAAAACUGGGCCCAGUUCGGACUGUAGGCUGCAACCCGCCUACACGAAGCCGGAAUCGCUAGUAAUGGCGCAUCAGCUACGGCGCCGUGAAUACGUUCCCGGGUCUUGCACUAACCGCCCGUCA